ACUCCAAACAGUCCUCCCUCUACCUGGAUGAAAGGACCAUCCUUAUCUCUGAAGACACAGACACAGAAAAGAAUAUGAACAAACAGGCCUUGCUGAAUUCCCCCCAGUUUAUUAUCAUUGCAUCAUCUUCCUUUUUGCCCAAUCAUGUUUCUUCACAACCAUCUUUUUUUUUAAAUCAGACUUAGCAUAAAAUACACAGAGAUAUUCCUGUUUUUUCAGAUCUUCAUUUCUGAGGCUUCUGUGUCACAUAUAAUUUAUAUUAAACCAACUCGUAUGCUUUUAUUAAUCUUUUUUUUUUGUUAUAGGAGUCUCAGCCAUGAACCUUGAGAUGGUUAAGCAAAAGAUGAUACUUCUUCUCUCCUAGACUGCCGUCUUUAUCAGAAGCUCAUGUCUUAAUUUCUGAUGGGUCUUCCUGAAAACUAAAUUUUCCUUUUUAGCCUCUCUAUCAAAUAGAUAGUAAUCAGUAAAUGCACAUUAAGUAAAAUAGGGAAGGUGUUCAAUAAUUUUUAAAAUUACAGGGGUUAAGAUAAAGAAUAUUUUAUGGUUCAUCAAUUAUGAAACUCUAACAUGAAAAACAAUUCAAUACACUGAUCAUUCUCAGGCAUUCAAUAUAUUGAUCUUUAAGAGAUGAAACUGAGUUCAAAGAUUCCUUGUUUUUGUGAAUAUCAUACAUUGU
rnacentral:lncRNA from 1 species